AAGCCAGCGGCAGAAGACGGUUUUGAGAGGAGGGCAAUUUGAAUCUGGAUUCCAUUUUAAAUGAUGUAAGAGCUCAGCUACUGCUCCAGCACCACGUCUACCUGCCUGCUGCCACGCCUCUGCCAUGACGAUCAUGGACUCGACUUCUGAAACCGAGAGAGAGAAACUGCCCUUCCUAACUGCGCCAGCCAAAUCAGUCGGACUGGCUCUCAUUGGUCUGUUCGGACUUCCUGUCUACUGUCGGAAACCAAUCACCCUGCCCAGAAGAGCAUAACAUUCUGAUUGGUCAAACCAGGGCUAAUCCCAACCGGAAUGAGAAACAAACAGAAGAUUCUUGUUCCAAAGCAUGGCGGUAAUAGUUCCUGCCUGCGCGUCUUCCUGAGCCUGUGCAGGGAGGUGACUCACUUUGACCCACUACUGCCACAUGGAUACCAAAACCAACUCUCCAGCUGGAUGGUAUUAAAUAGGUGACGUUUGAAGCUGGGCGUGGUCACGCACACCGGCAGGCUCAGCAUUUGAGAGAUGGGAGACCGGAAGUUCAGGGACCUGAGCUACAGGAGACCAGAUCUC